CCACUCAUAUAUCCAUAAGCCAGAAAACAGCAUAGCUCUCUGGCUUUUUCACUUUUAGUUUCUCAACAUAUAAAGAAAUCCAGAUCAGCAUGAGUGCUGGGGGAAUGAUUUAGGAACACGAUGAGGGCAGCCUGUUUUGAAAGGACCAGGCGAAGGCACUAGUUAAAACACUGUCCAGUUCUCUGCUCUUCCCGUGAAAUGUCCCUUGAACGGGCCUCCUCUUCCCCGUUGGGCGUGUGUGACUGUUGGAGCCCUCCACCCCCGUGUGCACGACUGCCCCGUCCCCUGGCUCAGGUGUGCCCAUCGCGGCGUCAUCAGACGCCCCUUGUCUGUGUCACCUCUUCCAGUGGCUCCCCCCCAAGUUGUCUGCCGUGAGAUCUGAACUCUGCCCGUGCCCAGAGCCCUGUCCUAUCUGACCCAUUGAUCUCCGUAGCCUUACCUCUUAACCAACAGAUGAAACAAGCCCUUUCUUCUACUUAGAUGGACCUCUCACACACAGGAUACCAUUCCCG
rnacentral:lncRNA from 1 species